UUUUCGGUUUACCCGCAAUACAGUAUGAAUAUCAACAAGAACAACAUCAACAUUAACAUCACAUCAACCUUGGUUCGGCCUUGUUCGAAGAGCCUGUUUGCGUCAACAAGAACUGCUUUCUAAUGUUCAUUAAUUCUCCUAUUUUCUUCUUAGAUAGUAAUCACUAGAAAGUGCUUCACUUCACUAGCUUUUUGAAUGUUUUUGUAGACAGAGGUAACAACUAUUAGAUGAGGGCAAAAAAGAUCUAAAGAAGCUCGUCGACAUUUCCGGACAGCUUAGCGAUAGCAAGUUUGCUUCGUUUUCUCAAAUUUAUCUCUUGCUCUCUGAAAUAAAAUGGUAAGCUUCAUGAUGUACGUCAUUAUGUGUCCCUAAUACAUGUUCAUAUUUUUUAUGAUAUUUGUCUAACCUUACUACUUGUCAGUAUAAACGUGAAGGUCGCAUGCAUGGUGCAGUUUCACAAAGAAGAGCAGCCCCUUCCCCUUCUUUUUCCCCUGCCCUUUCAUGUUUCCCUCAACCACUACAUGCUGAUGGACAACAUAGAUACAUUGGCCCUUCCUCCGACCCUCAAGAACAUAUUAGGGGACAACUUGGACACAUGCGAACUGAAUCUACUUCAGUUCCAUGUCCUUCAGUUCCAUCUCCUUCGGUUCCACCUUCUUCUUCAGUGCAACACUCGAAUGAUGAGGGAAACACAGGUGAAGAAUAUAGCCGAUUCAUGAUAUGCCCAUAUGGAGAUUCAUUCACAGAUGUUACGUAUGUUGUGAGGCAACUUAAUAAAAUAGUCAAUAACUCUUGAAGGGGGCAGUAUAUUAGUUAUAGCAGCGCUCCAAAAGAAGUAAAGGAUUUGUGGUGGAAUGAGUUCAAGUGGAAGUUCAGGUGGGAUGAAAUGGAAGAGGAUGAAGUUAAAAGAAUUUUUAAGAAGAAAGCCGAUGAUCACAUACGAAAUGUGAUGAAUAAAGCAAAUAUAAGUCAAGUAAAGCCAGAUUUUAUUAUGGGUGACAAUUGGACCGAAAUUAAGAGAACUUGAGAAACUGAAAAGAAUAAGUAAAUGAGUGAACAAAAUAAGAAGAAUCGAGCUUCUAGUUCUAGUGAAGGGUCUGCCACAUAUGCUUGGGGCUCUAUCAACAUCGGGGAGCAUAGAAAAAGAAUGGUAAGUUUGUUAAACAUGUUGUAAGUUAAUUUAAUUCAAUUACUCAUUUAUGUUUAUAUUUUGUAGGCAAAUGAAUUGGGGACGGAAUCGACAUAUACAGCUACAUUUGAAUGCACAUUUCAAAAAAAAGAUAAAACAUGGACUGGCGAUCGAGCAAAAGCUAUUAAGGUAUGAAAAAUAUGAUGAACUUUUAAUGAGUAGUGCUAGUGGUAGUGGUGGUGAUAGUGUUGCUGCGUCUGAGCCAUCAGUUGACACUAUGGCAUCAUGGGUGGAGGCAUCGGGAGGGAUGAAAAGAGGAAAAAUAUUUGGGAUGGGAUCCUUGUCAAGGGUAUGCACAACGCAGGCUGCUGUAACUUUAUCCUCCAAUGCGACUGUUUCAAGGAGGACACGACUUGAGGGGCAAAUGACCCAAGAAUUGAGCUAACUGAAAUAUUUACUUGUAGAGAACGACGAAGAAAUAAGAGUGGUCAAACAACAAAUGCAAUUGAUCUUGCGACACCUCAACCUCGAUCACGAUGAGGUUCCUCUUGUACCUCCGACUAAUCCAAUAGGUGAUGGGCACAAUGAUGAGCGACAUGAUGAUGAUGACAUUGCUAAUGA